AGUGAACGCUGGCGGUAGGCCUAACACAUGCAAGUCGAACGGCAGCACAGUAAGAGCUUGCUCUUACGGGUGGCGAGUGGCGGACGGGUGAGGAAUACAUCGGAAUCUACUUUUUCGUGGGGGAUAACGUAGGGAAACUUACGCUAAUACCGCAUACGACCUACGGGUGAAAGCAGGGGAUCUUCGGACCUUGCGCGAGUGAAUGAGCCGAUGUCGGAUUAGCUAGUUGGCGGGGUAAAGGCCCACCAAGGCGACGAUCCGUAGCUGGUCUGAGAGGAUGAUCAGCCACCCUGGAACUGAGACACGGUCCAGACUCCUACGGGAGGAAGCAGUGGGGAAUAUUGGACAAUGGGCGCAAGCCUGAUCCAGCCAUACCGCGUGGGUGAAGAAGGCCUUCGGGUUGUAAAGCCCUUUUGUUGGGAAAGAAAAGCAGCAGGUUAAUACCCCGCUGUUCUGACGGUACCCAAAGAAUAAGCACCGGCUAACUUCGUG
rnacentral:rRNA from 1 species